rnacentral:rRNA from 1 species
GUAGGGAAUAUUGGGCAAUGGGCGAGAGCCUGACCCAGCCAUGCCGCGUGCAGGAAGAAGGCUUUCUGAGUCGUAAACUGCUUUUGAUAGGGAAGAAUAAGCACUACGUGUAGUGUGAUGACGGUACCUACAGAAUAAGCACCGGCUAACUCCGUGCCAGCAGCCGCGGUAAUACGGAGGGUGCGAGCGUUGUCCGGAUUUAUUGGGUUUAAAGGGUGCGUAGGCGGCCUGCUAAGUCCGGGGUGAAAGCCCGUUGCUCAACAACGGAACUGCCCUGGAUACUGGCAGGCUUGAGUACAGUGGAGGUUGGCGGAAUGGACCGAGUAGCGGUGAAAUGCAUAGAUACGGUCCAGAACCCCGAUUGCGAAGGCAGCUGACUACACUGGUACUGACGCUGAGGCACGACAGCGUGGGGAGCGAACAGGAUUAGAAACCCUUGUAGUCC